CCUACGGGAGGCAGCAGUAGGGAAUAUUGCUCAAUGGGGGAAACCCUGAAGCAGCAACGCCGCGUGGAGGAUGAAGGUUUUCGGAUUGUAAACUCCUUUUGUUAGAGAAGAUAAUGACGGUAUCUAACGAAUAAGCACCGGCUAACUCCGCGCCAGCAGCCGCGGUAAUACGGAGGGUGCAAGCGUUACUCGGAAUCACUGGGCGUAAAGAGCGCGUAGGCGGGAUAGCAAGUCAGAGGUGAAAUUCUUUGGCUUAACCAUAGAACUGCAUUUGAAACUGUUAGUCUAGAGUAUGGGAGAGGUAGGUGGAAUGCUUGGUGUAGGGGUAAAAUCCGUAGAGAUCAAGAGGAAUACUCAUUGCGAAGGCGACCUGCUAGAACAUAACUGACGCUGAUGCGCGAAAGCGUGGGGAGCAAACAGGAUUAGAUACCCCAGUAGUC
rnacentral:rRNA from 1 species